CCCGUAGAUGUUCUGGGCUGCACGCGCGCUACACUGAUGCGAUCAACAAGUUUUUCCUAUGUCGAUAGACACGGGUAAUCUUUUGAACUCGCAUCGUGAUGGGGAUAGAUUAUUGUAAUUAUUAAUCUUCAACGAGGAAUUCCUAGUAGGUGCAAAUCAUCAGUUUGCAUCGAUUACGUCCCUGCCCUUUGUACACACCGCCCGUCGCUGCUACCGAUUGGUUGAUCUGGUGAAUUAUUCGGACUGCCGGCUGAAGGGGUUUCCUCAUCUGCCAGCGGAAAGUCUUGUUAACCCUAUCAACUAGAGGAAGCAGAAGUCGUAACA
rnacentral:rRNA from 1 species